CCAGGGCAUGCCGGGAGCCCAAAAGCCGCUAGUUCUUUUUUGUGUUAUGCAGAAGUUGGGCUGGUCCUGGUGGAGUGGUUUUCUCUUACUAUGAGGACACGCUAGAAAUCCUGAUAGCAUCUCAUCUUCCCCCUAGGUUCCCGAACGGGAAGUUGCUUCCAGAGUUUUUUAUCUCCCCUCUAUGGCGGCGGUUGCCGCAGAGCUCGACACCUGCCUGGGGUCCGGCCACUCUCCUCAGAGCUGCUUCCAUAACUGGCGCCCGGCUGCAGGGAGCUGACGGCCGCGCAUGAGGGUAGGCUGUCUCAUUAUCCCUGGUCAGUUUUACAGAUGCAGUUGAGGCGAACAGAAUGAGGUUGCCACGACAAAGAACUGGAGAAAAUGUUACCGAGGAUGACGGAGAAGCAGGCGGAGCCCUGGCCAGGUCCCUCCGACUCUUUCUGGCCUCCCCGGCCGUUAGCGCCUCUCUAACCACCUCUGCCCCUGGCAGAUAGGUCUUCCCCAGCUACCCUUCAUCCCUGCUACCUCUUUUGAGAGCUGGAGAAAACAUCGGCAUGCACAGCUCCUUUGCACCUUGCUGGCGCAAACAGUGAUCACACAUCUACUCUCAAGCUCUAACCCUGCCAUACGGAAAGAAAGAUCUGCGACAACAUGCUGGAGCUGUUAAUCAUAAAGCACGGCUCUGUCCCUGCUCCCUUGGUGCCUUCUGCCAUCUAAAAAGAAAAGUGUCCUGAGCCUGAGAAAUAUCCGGAUCUUUUCUCCUCACACUCCUAAGACUCUUGAAUGUUUGGGCACCAGAGGCUGGAGAUUAAUGGACUUUGUGACGUCUGAGCUGGAGGAACUGGAAGAUCAGGAAGACUUAAAAACAUGUUCCUAAUGUUUUCAGCCAGCAAAUUCAUUGGUCCAAAUUCUCUACAAUUUUCACUGUGGUAUGGUGAGUAGUACACAGUGCUUUCUCUUCUGUUUGAUGGAAGGAUCUGCUUAAUUACACCUACCCAUAUAUUUCUCUGUGUAUUAUUGAAAUUAUUGAUAAUGAAAGUGUCUGCAAUAUGUGGCAGACAAUUUAGCAGACAUUUAUUGAGUGAUUAUCAAGGCAUUGCCCAGAUGUUGUAAGGGAGACAGAGAUGAAUAUGACACAAUCCCUCCCCUUAACACUAUCAUUCUUUAAGGUGAUAGAAAGGAAUUUCCCUCCUUGAAGAUCAUACAAAAAAUAUUCUCUCUUUUGCAAGGAAAGCUCAUACGAAGGCGAAUAACCCACAGAAAAGAGUAUGAAAGAGAGCUCAGGUGUCCCUUUCUUAUUUUGACGAUGAAUCUUUGUAAGAGGUGGGACAUAAAAAAUUCUGAAUAGCCAUUUCCUUGUAAUUGUUGUUCCCACCAGUUUAGAGUCAUGGAAGGAAAUGGAAGUAGUUCGAAGAGAAGCUUGUAGGUGGCAACAUGAGAAAACUGUUAGCUUAGAUGCUUCAAAGCAGUUUGCAAAAACUUCAGAAACAAGGAGCUCAGAUGAAGCCUUCUUAAGCUGGGGUGUCAGCUCCAGCACUGUUUUUCUUAUGAACUUAGUUCUCAAGUGUUUAUCCUAAUGGGCCUCAGGAGAAACUUACUUAGAUUCUCAGAUUAAUCGUCGCUCAGUAAGUAAGUGAAAAACCCAUUUCUGUUGGCUUGAGAGUGUUUGAAAUUAUAGACAACAUUUACCUGCCUCUAUGAGUUGUGUUUGGGUUUUUAUUUAAAAGAUUUUGAUUUCAUUGAACUUAGAGCAACUGAGAACAAGAACUGGGUUUUGUGGCAAGGGAAAAUCAAUUCAGAUGUAUACAUUUGCCACGUUUAAGACCUGUGCAGGUAACCUGGGAACGGCUGUGGCCAUUUUACAAGUCUCAACGAACAGUCAAAUAGGUCUAAAUUUAUGUAUAAUCAGAGAAUAAAAUUGAGGUGCUCCGAAGUGAAAUGAAUCCAGGUCACAAGAUGGAGACAGAAAUGUAUUUGAAUUUUUCUCACUUUGUGUGAGAAAUGACACCUUCCAAAACAAGACAUAUUACUCGUAGUCAAGCCUGCCCCAGAAAUCAUGUCUACAGAGCUUCUAUUAAAAUAGAAGCAGAAAACAACGUUGAUGGGAGUUUACAUUAUUUCUUUGUUUCUGCAUACCUUUAUGUAUCCCUUACAAUGCACCAGGCAGCAUGCAAGGCACUUUACAGGAAUUGUCUCAUUUAAUCCUCCCUAAAACCCUGUGAGAUGGGUAUAUUAUGCUAUUCUACAGGUAAGACAACUGAGGUUCCGAGAGAUUAAAUGAUUCACCCAAAGAUAUAAAGGACCACAGACAGGCCUGGGCAGAAUUUAUGCUCAGGUGUGUCUGCCUCCAGUGCCUAUGCUCUUAAUCUCUAUACCAAAUUGCUUCUCGUCUUGAGACUCUUUAAAUUGAAUAACACAGAUCAAUUGGCAAAGUUCUGUCUACACCUUGGAUUGAAUUUUUCCUUGAGAAUACUUCCUUUAAUCAGCAGAGAUGGGUAACAUAAAUUAAAUACUACUACUAUUUACAGAAAUACUAGUUUGCUUCUUUGAUGACAUUUUACAUAAGCGGCAAGCUGCUUUUCAACUGUUGUGUUGUUAUGUGGUUUGAAAAUAUAUUUGAUAAGUACAAUGGUUAUCAUUAAAGAAGAAAAGUUAAAAAUAAGAUGAAACAUAUUCUAUGAUCAGUUUUACUAAAAUUUAUCUCAUUUCUAGAGUACUUCUCUUUCAGAGGAUAUAUUUUUAAAUUAUAAAUUCAAACAUUUUCUCGUUACAAAUAAAAUUGUUUGACAAUUAAAGUUUAAACUUUAUAGGGUCAGAGAAAGGAGCUCAAGUGUGAACUGUAGCUCAGUGUAGUCUGGCUGGACUAGAAGGCAGCUUCGCAUGGGACAGUGAGUUUCAAUGUCUGAGUCUUCUGAAUAAAGGAAAAAAUCUCUUCCUCAGUGCUUACAUCCAAAUACUAUGGUGUCAAGGGAAAAAAUGAAAAUAGCAUCACAAUUGGGGCAUGCAAUAUCAACUAAAUACUUUCAAAGAGAAAGUAACCAAGAAUUUGAGUUGCAUGUUUGAAAUUAUGAUCAUUUAUUCUAUAAGGUAUGCCAAAAUAAAUUCUUAAGGGUAUUUACUUAUAUUAGUUCUAUAAUUAGUUUUCAUUUUCCGCAAUUGAAAAUAAUUGAAGGAGGACUGAGGAAGAGAAAAAAGCAGAAGUGCUGAAAUGAAAUUAGGCUAUCAGGCUGGAUACGGCGGCUCAGGCCUGUAA